rnacentral:rRNA from 1 species
AGAGUUUGAUCCUGGCUCAGGACGAACGCUGGCGGCAGGCUUAACACAUGCAAGUCGAACGCUCUCUUCGGAGAGAGUGGCAGACGGGUGAGUAACGCGUGGGAACGUGCCCUUCGGUACGGAACAACAGUUAGAAAUGACUGCUAAUACCGUAUACGACCUCCGGGUGAAAGAAUUUCGCCGAAGGAUCGGCCCGCGUUAGAUUAGCUUGAUGGUGGGGUAAAGGCCUACCAUGGCGACGAUCUAUAGCUGGUCUGAGAGGAUGAUCAGCCACACUGGGACUGAGACACGGCCCAGACUCCUACGGGAGGCAGCAGUGGGGAAUAUUGGACAAUGGGCGCAAGCCUGAUCCAGCCAUGCCGCGUGGAUGAAGAAGGCCCUAGGGUUGUAAAGUCCUUUCGAUGGUGAAGAUAAUGACGGUAACCAUACAAGAAGCCCCGGCUAAUUUCGUGCCAGCAGCCGCGGUAAUA